rnacentral:misc_RNA from 1 species
GAUGAAGAACGCAGCGAAAUGCGAUAAGUAAUGUGAAUUGCAGAAUUCAGUGAAUCAUCGAAUCUUUGAACGCACAUUGCGCCCGCCAGUAUUCUGGCGGGCAUGCCUGUUCGAGCGUCAUUUCAACCAUCAAGCCCCAGGCUUGUGUUGGGGACCUGCGGCUGCCGCAGGCCCUGAAAACCAGUGGCGGGCUCGCUGUCACACCGGGCGUAGUAGAUUUUAUCUCGCUCAGGGCGUGCUGCGGGUUCCGGCCGUUAAAAAGCCUUUUUUACCCAAGGUUGACCUCGGAUCAGGUAGGAAUACCCGCUGAACUUAAGCAUAUCAAUAAGGGAGGA